UCGGCUGGAGGAGAUGGAUGAGUGGGUGGAGAAUAUUCCAGAAGGUUUGGUGUUGGCAAAAUGAAAGUAUGAAGCAGAUUUGUGAGUUUUGGAGUUGUGAGUGCUGCAGUUUGUUUUUUCGUGAUAAAAUAGGAGACUCAACAAAACUUGCCUGCUAGCCUCCGGUAAGCCUAUGCCAGAUCGCUGACACAAUGAAAUCGGGUGUGUACCUUCAAAUACUGUUUCUAGAAGUAAAAAGAAAAGAAUCCAGCACUAUCUUCUUAACAGUCUCUUCCUCUUCAGAGAGCUGGACCAAGUGUAGUUCUCAUAUAGAAAUUCUCCCUGUUGCUCUCUGCACAGCAGAGUGACCAUUCCAGGAGUCGAGCUGGGUCUCUCUAGAGCCCUCUUUGGAGCUGGCACAGGCUCUCUUUGAAGCUUCAAGGGAGCUUACCUCAUAACAGUAACAAUUCUCAUUCUUAUUCUCCCCAAUUUCUUUCUCUGUCUCCCUUUCCUCUUAUUUUUCAUCUUCUUCUGAUAGUCUGGAUACUAGAAGUAUGGUUAAUUGUGUGUGUGUGUGUGUGUGUGUGUGUGUGUGUGUGUGUGUGUGUGUGUGUGUUGUGUCUCGGGUGGGGGUAAUGUGACCAAAAUAGCUAUUUCAUCCCCCAAUAUGACUUCCUUUCUGUAGCCCAGCUGCCGGGUGUUGGUUGCCAUGUUGGAGCUCGGAUUCAGCUGGGUCUUUGCAACAUACGGCCUCAUCCCAGAGUGUACAAACAGUGUUUGUGUCUGAUUGGCUAAGAGGGUGGAGGUCCAGUGUUGUGGUUCUGGGCACCUUUCAUUUCCCGUCUCUGUUUCCCCUCUGCGUCAUCAGCUGGAGUGUGUUUGAGACUUUGGGAGCUUGCCUUUGUUCACCUGGGAAAGUCCCUGCAGGGAGAGCUAAGGUCCCACAGAGGAAGGGGCUGGAGCCCUGACCUCUGUCACCCGAAUUGUUUGGGCCACGAAGCCCCCAUAGGGGUUAGGAGGGUGAUCAAUUGGCAACCUGAGGAGUAAAGGCCCCCCUCUCCCUUCUCCUCUCUGCUCAUUGUGCUCUGAAGGGCAGCGAGGUCAGCAGCAGCAAACUGAAGGGCCAACUAGCUGUGCCUUGAAAGGGGCUCGUUUUGUGUUUCGGUAAUGAGCGCUCUUUCUCCCCUUGGAUGCACUCAGAUUUCACAAGUUACAGGGAACCUGUCAACUGCUGUUUUCAUUGUAUGGGGCUCACAGGGAACUUGGAUAUAGGGCAAGCUUGUUUCAAAAAAAAAGCAGGGGAAGAAAAGUCCUGAAUAGCAGCAAUGUGCUGUCAUAUGCAGAUCACAGCUCUAGUUGCCAUGGGACACCUCUGCCAGCCGAGAGGGCAAGAUGCCGAACGUCCCUUAUUGACGUGAUUGCUUCCUUGGAGAUGGGGCUGCCACCACUGAAAGGGCUUGUUUGCCACAGCCUCCACGGAGCCUGGCCUGCCAGCAUCCUGAAUCCUAGCAGCCUCUGCCUCCCACUGGCUGUUUCCUAGGAAGCCCCUCACCCAGUCAGAGGAAACGGGCCAAGCUCACCCUGGAAUAGGGAGGAGGCAGGUAGAAAGGAUCCUUGCAUGUGGGGCUCUAGGCCUGUCGCUCACAGGUCUGCUGGGGACGGGUGGCUGGGAACCAGGGUUCUGGUGUUAAAGUCAAGUCUUUGUUUGUCUUGCCCUCUGAGAACACUUGGCAAUAGCGUUCCUUUCCUGACAGGUUCAUUUUGUAACCCAUAGACAUUGUUUUCUUACCCUUGUUUACCUAAAGUGGCCCAGAGCAAUGGGACAGGCUGUGGCAAUGAGAGAGGAGAGCCCACCCUAGUGGCUUUUAAGUCAUCACACCCAGGUCCCCUAUAGUUCUUUGUCCUGACUCUGUUUUCCACAGGUGGAAGCAUCAAGUUUCCAGAGUGUCCAGCCUGGAGCAGAGCGUGGACACCUGGGACAUAGGGAGGAGCUAGGGUUAGCAGAAGGCCCACAAUGAAGACUCCAAAAGAUCCUUUGACAUAUGGCAGCCCUUCCCACUAUGCGCAUGGCGCCAGCAUCUUCGGCAUCACAAAGGUGGACGUUCUGCUAUAGUAAGAGCUUUGGAAGGUUUUGCAAAUUUGACCUAACAGUGAGAAUUCAUCAGCUGCGAGCCACGUCUUCUCCCAGCCAGUAAUGAGCAUCUCCAAGGAAUCUUAAGUAUAUUUCCAGGGGUUUGAAGAGGACAACUGCAAACCCUGACAGCUCCUCGGUGGGCUGUCAAUCCUGAGUGUGAUUCAUCCCUUCUCCGAGGUCUUUUCCAGAAUCCCUGAGACCUUUGAAAAAUCAGCCGUGGCUGUGAGAAAGAAAGGAGCUCGGGAAAACAAUGGUCCUUCUCUUGCAGAGGAAGAUGAAGGGAACUCCAGAGAACAAACCAGGGUGGGGGACAAUUUGUCUUUGUCCGUCCAGUUCAUAGGACAGGGUUAGCCACAGAGCGGAGCCGAGUAAGCAUAUGGAAUAAUGAAUGAGUUCAUGGAAGGGUACAGCCAGGCCACUGUGGAAGCCAGUGCCCCGUAGAUAGACCCUGUGCAUACCAUUUCUGUCACAGUUUAGAGAGCGGUCUAGCUUUCAGCUGCCCGUCACCAUCACCUCCUUCCCAAACAGAAUCAACAUCUUGUCUCUUCUCACCACGGGGAAAUGGCACUGAGAUGACCCAGCUGUCUUGAAAUCCUUAAUCCCAUUGGUGGCAGAUCACCACACACACUAGAAAGUGAAGAGAAUACAACUUUCCUCCUGGGGUAGCCAGUCACCUCUUCUGCUCCAGGGGGUGCCACAUUACCUAAUUCUGGAUCAUGAUCAGAUGAUGGCUUCUCUUGGUCAGCCUGUCCUUGGAAAAUCUACUCCCUGGUUGUAUCGGAAAAUUCCUCUUGUGUCUGUCACUGCACACAUCAGAAGACCAAGGUUUCCAUUUUCUCAGAAGAAAUCAACCAGCUACUGUCCCUGAGAGCAAGUCUGCUCCUGGAAUUUUUUUUUCUUAACCUCUUAGAACCAAUCCAGAAAAGGCAGGCCAAGAGGGAGGCUGGUGUUCCCCAGCACCAACUGGCUAGGCUGAGUCUCUGUAAGGAGCCUAAGGUCUGGACCCAGAGAUGCUGGCUUCUUUCAUGUUGCUUGGGUUCACUAAAGCAAAGAAAUCGGCUUGAAAAA